rnacentral:lncRNA from 1 species
UGGUUUGGUGCGAUCGCGUGAGACAGCGUCAGGCGCUUGAUUUCCCUGAGUCCCGGUGCCUCAGCUGCCCAGUGCCCACGUUCGUAAGAAGGCAACAAGUUCUUCUCCUCUACAGAAGGAUUUUGCAAACAAUUCGGCAAGUUCCAAAUGAUUCUGAUCGCAAAUACCUGAAAGAUUGGGCAAGAGAAGAAUUCAGAAGAAACAAAAGUGCCACCGAAGAGGUGAGAACAAAAUCAUGGAUACAAUCCGGAUGAUGAUUACUCAAGGCAAUAUGCAGCUCAAGGAGUUAGAAAAAACACUUGCUUUAGCAAAAUCUUAACUAUAGCAUUAUUCUGAAGGAUUUUCAAAGUCUCCAUGUGUUUUGUUGCAUUUAGGAUUAACAAUGGACAACACAAAGCCCAGUCUUACUAUUUAUAUGUACAGUAUUUGGUGAUAGAGAGCAAAGGAAAAACACAUCAGAACAGUUGCCUUAACACUGAAAAACAUACCCUGCAUUUUGAAAAUGUUUAUGGAUGUCUCAGCAGUUCUUAAAAGAAGAAAAAAACCACUAACAAAUGGCCAGUAG